UGUAAACCUCCCCCUUGGCUGGUCUCCUUGGAGACCGGAGUUGGCUCAGGCCUGUCACACCUGGGCCUGAUCAACUAACUUCCAGUUCUGGAGCUGCUGCUGGAGGAGGUGCCAGUGGGCAAGAUGGCAGCUGGUGAGAUGACACAAGGCAGAAAGAAGGGUGAAAGGUUCAAAGGUUAAUCUGUGAAAUACAAGCUGAGUACUUUCUCCUUUGAGUCAAGUACAGGAGAGAUAAUUACAUGUUCCGCUCCUGAAAAUGUUGAGCAGUUGACGGACAGUGAACUCUCAGAAAUUUAACCUGACAGAAAUGAAGAGGGAAAAACCGCCAACAGGUGAGGUGAAAGCUUCCGAGCCUCACCCCAAUUAUCAGGAAAAUGCCCGAGAUGACUCUGGCCCAGUGGGAGUAUGGUUUGUGGAGAAAGUGGAUCCAUGUCUUUUGGUGAUCCAUUUGUGGUAUCGGGCUGGGUGAAGAAGGAUUUUGGUUCUUUCAAUUUGGGCAAAGUAUCCAGAAGUGGACUUGUGUUUAUUACAUUUUUUGUGUGUCUGCUGCCCAGAGGGAGAAGGCGCUUACGUGACUCUGGGCGAGAGCUGUGUUCUGCUCUCCAGAGCAGAGCGCCGCUGAAAGGAGUGAUAACUGGGGUGGCGCUGAGGUGGAUUGACUGAAGUUGAGGAUUCUGUGUCUGAUGCAUGCCGUUUGUUUCGAUGCAGACCAGGUGAGGGCCUUGAGACUGACCUGGUCUGUCUUUCUGAGUUUUGAUGCAGAGUGUUUGCCGGAUAAACUCAUGCUAGGGUAUAUAAGUUGUGUAGGCCGUCAUUGUGAAUAAGAAUUUGUUCUUAACUGACUUGCCUAGUUAAAUAAUGGUUAAAUAAAUAAAAGUUAUCCUGUGGUAACCAAACCCACUAUGAUGUUUCAGGUACCAAGUUUACGGUUUUGUUGCAGCAGUAUGUUAAAGGGAGAUUCUGAGGUGUGAGAAGUGUGUAGGAGGGCAUGGGACAAAGGAGUGUGUAGAGUCCGUGGGGAAAGUGUUUCAAUUGACCAUGUUGCUGGGGACCAGAAAUGUCCUGUGCAAGUGAGACCGGUUGAAGUUUCCAGGCUGAAAGCAGUGCAAAAAGUGUUUUAUGUUGAGGUGAGGAAAGUAGAGGAUCUGCCGGAAAAUCACAGAGUUUGAAAGCUGCCGCUUCCGCCACAAACUUCACUGGGACCAUGUCAUACCCAGCCACCAAUGACCUUGCAGCCAGAGGGGGACCAAACGACAUGGGCUGGGUUCCAUAGACGCUUGAUGACAACAGACGACAGGGAGCGACUGCCAAACUACCAACAGUGAAACUAACCAACGGCAGACGAGCAACCGACGGGAGUUGGCUGUGGCCAUCCUGGACACUCGUCCAGGAGCACAGACCUUUGAUUUUGGUUUGUGAUUGUGUACUUCUGAGAUUUGAAGUAAAGAACUCUAAACAUUUAAA
ensembl:lncRNA